rnacentral:rRNA from 1 species
CCUACGGGUGGCAGCAGUGGGGGAUCUUGCACAAUGGGGGGAACCCUGAUGCAGCGACGCCGCGUGGGUGAAGGAGUGCUUCGGCAUGUAAAGCUCUAUCGGCAGGGAAGAAGCAAGACGGUACCUGACUAUGAAGCCCCGGCUAACUACGUCCCAGCAGCCGCGGCAAUACGUAGGGGGCGAGCGUUAUCCGGAUUGACUGGGCGUAAAGGGAGCGUAGACGGCCAUGCAAGCCAGGGGUGAAAGCCCGGGGCUCAACCCCGGGACUGCCCUUGGAACUGCCUGGCUGGAGUGCGGGAGGGGCAAGCGGAAUUCCUGGUGUAGCGGUGAAAUGCGUAGAUAUCAGGAGGAACACCGGCGGCGAAGGCGACCUGCUGGACCGCAACUGACGUUGAGGCUCGAAAGUGUGGGUAUCAAACAGGAUUAGAUACCCUAGUAGUC